rnacentral:lncRNA from 1 species
AGAACCGGGGCUGGAGGAGCGGCAAGAGUACCCAGAAAGUGCCCUCUCCGCGGGGGUCUGCGGCCAAGGAGGAUCCUGCUCGUGGAAUAGCUACCAAAUCGGCCUCCAGCCCACCCCAGGGGCGGGGUAGAGAAAGGGCAAACUGUGACCGGGACUUGUGCACCCGAUUAAUUGAAUAUUAAUCACCCCAAGGCCUAGGCCAACCGCCACCCAGAGAGUGGCAGCUGCAGAACCCAAAGACGUGGAGCCGGGCUGGGGGUGGGGAAGGGAGGCCGCCACAGCUCCCGCCCCGCCGGCAGUUUAACUGCUUCCGCAGCCUCAGGCCUCCCGGUGCGACCCCGGCUGCGACUCGGAUCCGUUUAUUCCAAAUGUCCCAGCCCACGCCGUGCCCAGAGUGUGGCGACACGAGGCCAAACUGCGUAGCAACGACGCCUGAUUGGCUGCGCUGGUCCCUUCGCAACGAGGCGAUUGGCUGCCUGGUAUCCAGGAGACCGACGUCAAACUCGGACUGGGAAAAGGGGAAAGUCUGGGGGGAGCGAAGGAGGGGACGGGGAGAAAGAAGCAAUGAAUGAAACGCCCAUCGCCUGGCCUUCCCCUUUCCCCUUUCCCCUCUCCUCUCCAUUCUUGGAGCACUUCCUGGAAAAACACCAGUUGGGGCGCCGCCUUCCCCUCCAAACGUUGGGGCCUGCACUCUCAACCUGCUAUAAGGAAGUUAAACCGCAGCUCACCGAGGAGUAGGGUGUCUACGGGGCGGGCCCGUGUAGACCAGCUGUGCUCCUCGGGCACAAACCCGCCGUACAUGCCAGGCCUAGAAGCUUUUGGCUUUGUGGACGCAAAAUCUGGUUGGAGCCGCCUUCUCCACCCUGACUCUCCCGCCUCUCCUUUUUAGAAGGAACCGCACUGAGAAAGGGUAUUUCUGAAGGCUCAAUGCGUAGGAGAAGGGGUGGGAAGAUGGGUUUGUGGAAUGGGCUGAGGGUGGGGAGUGGUCAGGUGACUGAUUUCAUGUUUAUUGUACAGAUUCCUAAAACAUAGUUUUACUAAGUGACUCCUUAAAUUCUGAUUAAUGUGAUUUUUUUUUUUUUUUGAGUGUUUGGGUUUUUUAGUUGCAAACAGGAGUGGAAUUGAAAUGUGAAAGUAUGGCAAAACUGUGAAAGCAUUUAAAUUAAAAUGUCCCUUCCUCUGCAUUGAAAUGUCAUCAAAGCGUCAAAUAUAAAUGAUUUGUUCAGUUUUC